rnacentral:rRNA from 1 species
UACGUAGGGGGCUAGCGUUGUCCGGAUUUAUUGGGCGUAAAGAGCGUUUAGGCGGCCAGGUAGGUCUGGUGUGAAAACUCGAGGCUUAACCUCGAGAUGUCAUCGGAAACCAUCUGGCUAGAGUCCGGAAGAGGAAAGUGGAAUUCCUGGUGUAGCGGUGAAAUGCGCAGAUAUCAGGAAGAACACCAAUGGCGAAAGCAGCUUUCUGGGACGGUACUGACGCUGAGACGCGAAAGCGUGGGGAGCGAACAGG